rnacentral:lncRNA from 1 species
UUUUUGUUUUGUUUUUUGUUUUUUAUUAGAGAAAUAAAUCUUUCUAAUCAGUGCCUCAGGAAAGUGUCUUCUGGCUACCAGCACUGCAAUGGCUCAGGUCCCAGAUGGAAUGGGUGCUGUGAUGGCAUGGCUCCAGAUGGCAUGGGCAUGCAAGAGUGAGGCACGUUAUGAGGGAGUUUUCAGGAGCCCACUGGAAUUAUAUGUCUAUGAUGUCCUCUUACUUUUAUUCUCUCCCCAGCUCUCAAAGUCGCUGCCAACAAGCUCAUCAAGACAUAAAGCAAUGAGGGAGACCCCCAAAGAGUGGACACUCGAAUGAAUAAGGGAAUUUUUUCAAAAAAAUUUUUAAGUAGGCUCCAUACUCCAUGCCCAGCACGGGGCCCACUAGGGGGCUUGAACUCACGACCCAGAGAUCAAGACUUGAGCUGAGAUCAAGAGUCCAAUGCCUAACUGACUGAGCCACCCAGGUGCCCCAUGAAAGAAUUAAAUAAAUCCAUACACAAUGCCAGACUCUCUGAUAAACGCUCCAAAUUCCCUCACUUAAGCCUGAAAAGGAGAUUUUAUUAAAUGCAUUUUGCAAAGGAAAAGACUGAGGACAUACUGGCUGGCCUAAGGUUCAUAUAAGUAUAAAGUAAAAGCAGGAUUCAGAUGCAUGUGUGCCUGAUUCACUGCUCACACUCUUCCCACAGUUUCAGCCACUCUUCAGGUGAGAAGGCCCCCACUCCCAGAAUAAGCUCUUGCAAUCAAAUCAGUGGUGAAGUGAGUAGAGAGCUGUUUAAGCUAGACUCAUUCCUGCGUCCUUUUAGGAAUCUUUCGUCUCCGUCUGUGUUCCCUAGAAAGCAACACACCCAAGCUCAGCAUUGUGCAGUGGUGAACAGCCUCAGUAUCUCUGCCUACUCCCACCCCCUACACGCAAACACACACACACACACACACACACACACACACAUAUACACACUGACAUAUGCCUUUUCAGGAAAGACAGUGCCACCAAAAGGCAGCCCUGGGCCAAGAGCAUGAAUACCAAGAGGAAUAAGCCUGCUGGGGCAGGAAGUCCUGCUCCUCCAAGGCUUCUGGGCUGGAUCUGAACAUGGGGCAGCCAAAGCAUCUAAUGGAGUUCUGGGGACAUCCUAGCCACUGUUUGUUGUUCACAUCAGAGCUCUUCACAGAAAUCAUGAAAACAACCCAGGAGGAACGGGGGAUUCCAGUCACAAUUCAGUGCCAGUGAGUUCUGCCUCUACUGGUGGGGCAUGGCAUACACAUCCUCUGCUGAUGGGGCAUGGAGAGGGGGACUCUGAAAGUGUGGGAGUCCAGGGAGGGAUCCCAUCUCCUACAAGGGGCCCUGAGAUGGAGCAGCACAUCACAUGCAGUUCAAAACUCACCCUUCCUAAUAAUACCUGCCAAUAACAGCCCAGAAUGAGUCAAUCUGGAAGUGAGCUGAAGGGCUGUGAGUGGCCAGAGCCACUAACGUGUCC